rnacentral:lncRNA from 1 species
GCAAAUCAAAAGCAUCUUUAGCAAGUGAGGCUACUUUGCCUCUGUGCUAGGGCACAGGCCGGAAUGGAUUUCACACACCAUCACAAGAUAGAUAACAAACAAAGCCUUAGAAAUUAUUGGUUAUCUAAUCUGUUACCUGUUUCUCUAGAGCAAACUUGCAAUAUGCUCUUCCAAUCAAUACAAAAAGAAAACAAACAUACAGAAAAGAAAAGAAGAAUAAAUACUACUGCAGACAUGUGCAAUGCAAAACAAGUACUGAAAUAAAGGAGCUCUUGCACAUAUCUCUCUGCCCAACCUUUAAUCUAAUUUGAUGCCUGUCUUUUGUGAGAAGGAAGCGUGACAGUGCUGCCUUUUCAGUCUUUCCAAACCACCAUCAGUAGAAUUGCUAUUUUUUUUCCAAAAAGCGAAAGUUUUUAUGCUAACAAUCAUCAUAAAUAGCAGUGUGUAGAACAUGAUAGGCCACUUUGCCCUAGUUACACCAGCAUCCCGGCCAGACCAACCACAAAUGUGGCUCUGCCCCUUCUUGCAACAAAUGAUCAGAUCCAGAGCAAGUACUUCAGAAACUUCCAUUCAUCGGGAUCCGGGUGCGGGCGUCGCCACCUACGCUCGGCCUGGUGAUCUUCCUGACUCUCCAGCUCCCCUAGAAGAAUGCAGAACUGUGAGCCAUUGGAAACUAGAGUAAGGGAAUGGAUUGGAACACCCUGCAGUUGUGUUCAAGCCAUCAAGGUGACUUAUACUCUGCAGCAUUGAGCUUUUUAUGAACCAAUAGCUAAUUAUUAACGGCAUAGUAGGGUUUACUUUGUUUAAUUUGACUGCCUCAGCUGAUUGUUGACUAAUCAUUUCGAGUAUGAUAAGUGCAUGCAGGGUACUCAUUAGGGGAGUGUGGCUAGAUUUGCCUUGUAAAGUGUUAGCUUACUGGUAUCAUCAUGGGAGCAGGGGAUAUGCAGGUGCAAUGAGGACAGAGUGUAAUAAUCUUUUCAGUGUUGGCAUCUUAGUAUAUAUCAUCACGAACUUAUGACAUUUGAAUUAUGAAAUUAAAAGUAAACCUUACAUUUGGAUAUAACAGGAUUUACUCAAUAAAGAACUUAUAACAUGGAGACCUUGUUUAGUAAAUCAAUGCCCUGAAAUCAGAAGUUAAGCAAGCUCUUCUUUACUAUAAUUUAUCACAUUUGAUUUAGUCUAUUGUCUACACCAAAAGCAUGAGAAAGACAAUUAGGAAUUAGGGGUGGGUGGAAGGACAUGGCCAAUAUCAUGAACUUCCCAUCUUCUGCCUUCUUCUUUUUUUCAGAAUUUGGUUUCAAAUGAGAAUUCGGGAGGUCAAUGGAAGGACAUGACCAUAGAAUUGAAUACCAUGCUAUUACUUCUUUUACACUUUGGUGUGAAACUGUGAAAUCAGAGUAUCAAGAGAUCUAUGGAAGGGCAUGAAGAUAGGAACUUGAUUGAUAAGUUGAGACUUCUUAGGCAUUCAGCAUGAAAUUUUCCUUGGAGAAGAACCCAGAGCUUUCCCUAAAAAGAAAUUUAAAAAGAACACAGAGAGAGAAAGCAGCAGAAGCCAUGUUUGCAUGCAAGAAAUAGAUGCAUGGUACCUGUUGUGGAUUGGAUCCGGUCCAUUGGGCACCCUCCUCUUGCUGUUGCUCAAAGGAUCAUCACCAUCCCUCAAGUCAUCCAAUGUCCUCCUCUGAUCA